rnacentral:lncRNA from 1 species
CUGUACCAGGUGCUAACUGUGCUGGUGCAUGCUGCGGUGCUGCAUAAGGACAUUGGGCGCGUGGAUGGACCAUACACCGAAAUUGAAAGUCGUGCAAGAAAAGACAUGACUUGAAGUGGCCAGCAUUUUCUUGAAGUGGGGGAAAAAUGAUUGCAGAAAAAAGACCAAUGGCUGUGGAUGAACACCUGACUGAUUGUGUUAUUACACAGAUAGAUUGUCCAGGAUGGUAUGCAUGUGUAAAGGGGCAGACACUUGGAGAUGAUCCAUGAUGCAGGCAACUUGCAGUCCGGAAGACAAAGUCUUCGUCCUUCAGAAUUUGUGUAAGGAGGUGGAUCAGUGGCACGUUGUGUGAGAGGUUUAGACUGUGAAGGACAGAUCAUUCCUCAAGUGUAACACGUUGGCCCUGGUGGACGCUUGUAACAUAGACGUGGAUCACAAUCAGUCUGGCCAAUCUCAACAUCCAUAUGGGUGCAGUCACCCAGGCUGGGAGCAGUUACACCUCCAUGACUGCGGACUUAAUGCCUAGAGGUUGAUCUUAAUAAAUGACUCCUACUUGGACGAGUGCCUUGUGAAGAAGUAAAAAAUAACCCAGGAAGGUGGGAGACCACCAUAUUACUGAGCAACAUGGUGAUCAGGUAGACUCCUCAAGGAAAUUUGUCACAAACAUUUAUUCACAUUGUGUAUUCAAGAAAGUUGUUUGGAAUAUUUUGUUUGAUUCAAUGAGUGUAUAUAUUGGUGAAGGAUGAAUGCAGAAAUGAAAUUAUCCAGGAUGUAGCUGCCAAGGGACAGUAUACCUGUCCAUAUCGGUUGAAAGCUUAUAGUAUCCUGGAUGAAGGAAAUGGUCUUCGCUUAUGAAUAUGUUUCUAGCCCCUAGCUGGUAUGAAACAUACCUGUUUAAAUGUAGCAAAGCACAUACCAGGCACGAUUCUAGAGCUAAUCUUUUGGGGGGCUAUAUCCCCCACCAGAUGUCUCCUUUGAACUUUUACUACUGUUCUGCUGUCUUUAUGUUUGCGUUGUUUGGGGGGAGGAGCUAGACAAAAGUUGGGGAGUUCUAGAGGUCCCUUAGAACCCUGCCUGGCAUGUACAUUUAUUUAUGCCCGAUUGACAGAUUUUGUACCAGUAGGAAUAAGGAAACUGUAUGUACAAUAACCAUGUAUGAAACGAGUUGGCUGUUUGUAGCAGCAGCAAAAUUAUAUUCAUUAUUAUGUAUUCAUGCAAAUGAGGUAUGUAUGUAUGUAAAUUGCUGAAAAGUUGCCACAUUUUGUACUGUAUCUUCCCUCAGUUGAAGUGUAUCAUCACUUGUAAAGGAAGAGAUAUUUUGUUUACAACCUGGCUUAUGAAUGCACAUGCUCAUGCUAUUAGACUGAAACUUCAAACAAAAAUUGGCUGCGUGAGCUCGUCGCGUCCCAUGUCAAACGUGCAUGAACCUGCAUGCAGACGUGGUAAGUUCCCCACCAAAGGACAGUUUGUUAUUUAAAAACGAGUCCUAUCUUUCUUUCAAUCAGGUUGGGAAUGUUUAUCCAUAAUCUUAAUCUUUAAUAAGAAAAACUGUCAAUUAAAACCAAUUUAAUUCUGAGUGCCCUUUCAUUUUUGCAGAUUUGCCCAUUCAUGUCAAGAUAACUUGCCAUUUUUGAAAUGUCUUUGCUUUUACUCAAGGUUUCUUCAAAACCCAUGGGUGAGUAAUAGAUUACCUUGAAGAUUUACAAGGGCAUGGUGAAAAAUAUACCAUAUUUGUUCAGUCUAGAGGUAAUGAAAACUCUUGAAAAUCAGCUUUAAUGUGGUGUGUGUAUUGAUUUAUUUCAUAAAGAAAUUUCAGUUGCAUACAAUUUGUUCAAAUCUUACAUUCUGCAGCGAUUAGUGCAGUUACAUCUGUUGCUUGCACAUACUGCAUUCUUCCUGUUACUGUAUGUCAUAACUUAAAAGACAAGUGAACACUGAAAGUGAGGUACUUGAAAUGGAAUCGUACAUGACAUAUCAAACCAAAACACUUUAUUCUAAUGCUAAAUAUUUAAAUAAUUUCAUAUCUUUCUCAAUUUAAUCACAGUGAAACUUUACAACCCCCAAGAAACCAGUCGAUAAGCCAAGUAAAAAAAAAUGACUUUUUGCAAGAAAAGAAGAGUGACGGUCUCUGUGUAGUUUAUGAUUUGACUUGAGUUUUACCUCUAAAAGGAAACCCUUUCAUUUGAUUGUUCUUGGUAGUUGUCAACCAGUUGAUGACCACAAAACAUCUAUGUGUUUACUUUGGAACAUUAGGCAAGCUUUUUAGAAGGAACAUCAGUGCUGCAGAAUAGAAAGGGUUUUCACAAACAAUAUGUACCCUCAUAAAAGAAAAUGGAUUUUUGUGACAGGUAGAUGUUAGAAUAAUGUAUGCUCCAAGUUGGCCAAGUAAUAAACAAGUGCAAAAAGAACAGGAAAACAAGA